rnacentral:rRNA from 1 species
UUAUGGCUCAGAACGAACGCUGGUGGCGUGUCUAUACAUGCAAGUCGAGCGAGGCAGCAAUGCCGAGCGGCGAACGGGUGAGUAACGCGUAAGCAAUCUGCCCCAUAUCAGGAAAUACCCGUGCCAACGCGCGGUUAAUGUCCAGGAGAGUGGCCCUCUGCAUGGAGGGUUGACUAGAGAUUUAUCGGUAUGGGAUGAGCUUGCGUCCGAUUAGCUAGUUGGCGGGGCAACGGCCCACCAAGGCGACGAUCGGUAGCCGGCCUGAGAGGGUGAUCGGCCACAUUGGGACUGAGAUACGGCCCAGACUCCUACGGGAGGCAGCAGUAGGGAAUAUUGCACAAUGGGGGGAGCCCUGAUGCAGCAACGCCACGUGUGGGAAGAAGCAUUUCGGUGUGUAAACCACUGUCAUGAGGGAAUAAGGCCCGCCUCCGGGCGGGAUUGAAUGUACCUUGAGAGGAAGCACCGGCAAACUUCGUGCCAGCCGCCGC